rnacentral:siRNA from 1 species
AACAUCUAGAUGAUGGGCU